rnacentral:rRNA from 1 species
GGCGGCAUGGCUAAGACAUGCAAGUCGAACGGACCAUAUAAUUGGGUAACCGAAAGUAUGGUUAGUGGCGAAAGGGUGAGGAAUAGAUAGGAACGUACCCUGUGCUCUGGGAUAGCGUCUGAAGCUUCGGCUUCUUCCGAAAGGGGCGGUAAUACCAGAUAAUGUCCUUCGGGACCAAAGAUUUAUCGGCAUUGGAGCGGCCUAUCUCCUAUCAGCUUGUUGGUGAGGUAACGGCUCACCAAGGCAACGACGGGUAGCGGGACUGAGAGGUUGGCCCGCCACAUCGGGACUGAGACACUGCCCGGACCUCCACGGAGGGCUGCAGUAACGGAUAUUGGGCAAUGGGCGAAAGCCUGACCCAGCAAUGCCGCGUGCAGGAUGAAGCCCCUAGGGGUGUAAACUGCUGUCAGGGGUCAGAAAGCUGGUUUCGGCCAGUUGAUCAACCCCAGAGGAAGUCACGGCUAACUUCGUGCCAGCAGCCGCGGUAAUACGAAGGUGGCAAGCGUUAUUCGGAAUCAUUGGGCUUAAAGGGCACGCAGGCGGAACAGUGUGUGUUGUGUGAAAUCCCCCGGCUUAACCGGGGAAUUGCACAGCAAACUGCUGUUCUUGAGGCAGGUAGGGGUGCAUGGAACUCUUGGUGGAGCGGUGGAAUGCGUAGAUAUCAAGAGGAACGCCAGAGGUGAAGACGGUGCACUGGGCCUGUCCUGACGCUGAGGUGCGAAAGCGUGGGGAGCGAACGGGAUUAGAUACCCCGGUAGUCCACGCCGUAAACGAUGUCUACUAGGUCGUGGGUGUUCUGACACAUUCACGGCCGGAGCAAAAGUGUUUAGUAGACCGCCUGGGGAGUACGGCCGCAAGGUUAAAACUCA